CCGUGUUUCGAGUUACUCCGGAACACAGUGUUUAUUCUGUGUUUAGUCACGCCGCGUCAAAAAUGUUCCACAGGGUUACUUCCGGUUUAUCGUUGUUUACCAACAGUCGACACUUCGUGUAUUAGGCCUAGGCUUAAUUUUGUCGAUCAUCAUGAAAUUGAAAUACACAUUUAAUAGUUUGGGGUGUAUGCGGUACAUAUUUGUUUAUGAGCGUUUGAUAAGCUACUAUUGAUCUACGAAAUACAAUGAAAGACUUCGUCAAGAACAGAAGACGAUGCAUGUCGUGUAACUCGCACAAGGCCCAGCUGUCUAGUAACCGGAGGGGUAAAGGAAAAGAACGUAUUAGACUCACUGAAACCUGUCAAACAGGUAUAUGGGAACAGGAUCAUUUUCCAUGCCUUUCACUUGAGGUCUUCAGUUUCAUCAUUAAUCAUCUGAAUGUCGGUAUGCCAAACUCUCAUGAUAUCAUGCCAUUACUGGAUAUUCCUUAACACUGGUUUAUUUAAGCCACACUACCUAUAACAUUGCCAAAAUAUUAGACUGAAAAUUUUCAAAUACACAAGAUUUGAAGCAGCAAAAGAAAAGAAUUACAUAUGUAUAACACACAAAAAAGAAGAAAUUAAUUCUCACCUGGCUGAUAUGAACUUUUUACUCCUUUUUAGCUCCCUUUCACUGCAUACCAGCCAAUAACUAGCAGUCAUUAUAUGCAGAUCAGCCAUUGUUAUCAACCUGUGUAUAUAUAUGUUGAAUGAAAUAUGAAUGAAAA